AUUCAAAUAGCUUAUAAUUUAGAGCGUAGCCUUGAAGAUGCUAAAGAGAUUUAUUAAUCUUUGAAUA
rnacentral:tRNA from 1 species